GAUGAACGCUGGCGGCGCGCCUAACACAUGCAAGUCGAACGAUUAAAGCACCUUCGGGUGUGUAUAAAGUGGCGAACGGCUGAGUAACACGUGGGCAACCUGCCCCUCUCAUUGGGAUAGCCACGGGAAACCGUGGAUAAUACCGAAUACUUCGGGACUUCCGCAUGGAAGACUCGAGAAAGCUCCGGCGGAGAGGGAUGGGCCCGCGGCCUGUUAGCUUGUUGGUGGGGUAAUGGCCUACCAAGGCAAUGAUGGGUAGCUGGGUUGAGAGACCGACCAGCCAGAUUGGGACUGAGACACGGCCCAGACUCCUACGGGAGGCAGCAGUGGGGAAUCUUGCACAAUGGGCGAAAGCCUGAUGCAGCGACGCCGCGUGCGGGAUGAAGGCCUUCGGGUUGUAAACCGCUUUCAGCAGGGACGAGGCGAAAGUGACGGUACCGGCAGAAGAAGCCCCGGCUAACUACGU
rnacentral:rRNA from 1 species